CCUACGGGUGGCAGCAGUGGGGAAUAUUGGGCAAUGGGCGCAAGCCUGACCCAGCAACGCCGCGUGAAGGAAGAAGGCUUUCGGGUUGUAAACUUCUUUUCUCAGGGACGAUGCAAGUGACGGUACCUGAGGAAUAAGCCACGGCUAACUACGUGACAGCAGCCGCGGUAAUACGUAGGUGGCAAGCGUUAUCCGGUUUUACUGGGUGUAAAGGGCGUGUAGGCGGGGACGCAAGUCAGAUGGUAAAACCAUGGGUGCAACCUGUGGCAUGCAUUUGAAACUGUGUUUCUUGAGUAAGGGAGAGGCAGACGGAAUUCCUAGGGUAGCGGUGAAAUGCGUAGAUAUUAGGAGGAACAACAGUGGCGAAGGCGGUCUGCUGGACAGCAACUGACGCUGAGGCGCGAAAGCGUGGGGAGCAAACAGGAUUAGAUACCCGAGUAGUC
rnacentral:rRNA from 1 species